UGUGUCCAAAGCUGGAAGCUGCCCCAGCCAAACACUGGAAACACCCAGCUCUCCACCAAGAUAAACCACGCGAGCCACAGCUUGCGGGCAAUAUCCCAUCUCCAUCCUCACCACUGCUCAGCCCAGACCUCCCUCAUCUUCCUGGCCUGCAGACCUUAGCAGUGGCUGUUCCCACCCCUGGAACACCCUUCCCACCUGGUACCUGAUGCCUGCAGGGCCCAUGCACGGCAUAUUCACUGCUGUAUCCCCAGAGCCUCGCACAGUGCCUGGUGCAGAGAUGAUUUUCAGCAAAGAGGCACUGAAGGGAAGAUACCUAUGUGACUGUGAGGAGACACAGGCUGGACGAUGAAUGUGAUGGCUGGAACUCAAGCAGCCACAGUGGAUCAUAAGGGACGGUGUCUUGCUAUGUUGUCCAAGCUGGUCUCAAACUGGCCUGAAUCAAUGCUUCCACCUCAGCUGCCAGAGGAACCGGGAUUACAGGCCUGAGCCACUGCAGCCAGCCAGUUUGUUAUUUUAAUGUAAAUUCUUAGUAAACAACUCAGGAGCUCUCUUGUCCUUUUAAAAUCCAUUUCAACUUCUGCUAAUCGGAGUGUAUAUUCAGGGCAACUUGAAUCUGUGCUCCUGGGAUGCAAUCCUCAAGCUUGGCCCAAAUAAAGUCUCCGCUGAUAUUAA
rnacentral:lncRNA from 10 species